rnacentral:rRNA from 1 species
UACAGAGGUCUCAAGCGUUGUUCGGAUUCAUUGGGCGUAAAGGGUGCGUAGGUGGCGCUGUAAGUCAGGUGUGAAAUCUCGGGGCUUAACUCCGAAACUGCAUUCGAUACGGGCUGACUAGAGUUCGGCAGGGGAGACUGGAAUUCCUGGUGUAGCGGUGAAAUGCGCAGAUAUCAGGAGGAACACCGGUGGCGAAGGCGGGUCUCUGGGCCGAUACUGACGCUGAGGAGCGAAAGCGUGGGGAGCAAACAGG